AUAAAGUUUUAUUUUAGCUUAAAAAAUUUAUUAUUAAUUUAUAUUAUAUGUAAAUUUUUGUGUGAUUUUGUAUUUAUUUUAAAAAUAAAUAUAUAAAAAUUUAAUAUUUGCAAUAAUUAAUAUUAUUAAUUAAAGAAAUUUAGAAAUAGAAAUAUUAAUUUAAUAUUGACUUAAUUUGUGCCAGCAGUUGCGGUUAUACAAAUAAUAUAAAUAAAUUUUAUUAAUAAUAGUUAAAUUAUUAGUUAUAGAAAUAAAAUUAAAUUUAUUAAGUGAAAUUUUAAAUUUAAAAAAUUUUUUCUAAAAAAAAUAUUGAAGCUAGAAAUUUUUAAUAAAAAACUAGGAUUAGAUACCCUAUUAUUUAAAAUGUAAAUAAAUUUAUUUGAGUAGUAUUAGUUAUAUUCUUGAAACUUAAAAAAUUUGGCGGUAUUUUAGUCUAUUCAGAGGAACUUGUUUUUUAAUCGAUAAUCCACGUUGUACCUUACUUAAAAUUGUUAAUCAAUUUAUAUAUCGUUGUUAUUAGAAUAUUUUAUAAGAAUAAUAAUUUUCUAUAAUUUAAAUUAAAAUUAAUAUCAAAUCAAGGUGUAGUUUAUUUUUAAGUAUAAAUGAGUUACAAUAAAAUAUAUUUUUGGAUUUAAAUAUGAAAAAUUUAAUUAAAUUGGAUUUGAUAGUAAAAUUAUAAAGAUAAAUAAUUUGAUUUUAGCUCUAAAAUAUGUACAUAUCGCCCGUCACUCUUGUUAUUAAAAUAAGAUAAGUCGUAACAUAGUAGAUGUACUGGAAAGUGUAUCUAGAAUCAA
rnacentral:rRNA from 1 species